UUAAUUGAAACCAAAAUAGAGGUAAAUUAUUGUUAAUAAUUAAAUUGACCAAUAAUCCAAUUAAA
rnacentral:tRNA from 1 species